rnacentral:rRNA from 1 species
AUGAACGCUGGCGGCGUGCCUAAUACAUGCAAGUCGAGCGAACAGAUGAGGAGCUUGCUCCUCUGACGUUAGCGGCGGACGGGUGAGUAACACGUGGAUAACCUACCUAUAAGACUGGGAUAACUUCGGGAAACCGGAGCUAAUACCGGAUAAUAUAUUGAACCGCAUGGUUCAAUAGUGAAAGACGGUUUUGCUGUCACUUAUAGAUGGAUCCGCGCCGCAUUAGCUAGUUGGUAAGGUAACGGCUUACCAAGGCAACGAUGCGUAGCCGACCUGAGAGGGGGAUGGCCCACCAGAAAGCAGAGACAGGAUCAGGGUUCCAGGGGGGGGAGGAGUAAGGGAAUCGGCCAGAGUGGAGGAAGGCGUAAGGGGCCAGCACGGGGUGAGUGUGAAGGGUCUUGGGAGCAAAAAACUGUUUUAUAGGGAAAAAACAAAUGGGAAGAAACUAAGGCGCGUCUGGGCGUUACAUAACCAAAAACCAAGAGCAAACACGGGC